AUUUUUCUGAAGAGUGCCAAAGAGCAUGAAACCCGGGUCGAGGAU
rfam:Schistosoma mattheei strain Denwood, Zambia genome assembly, scaffold: SMTD_contig0008080